rnacentral:rRNA from 1 species
GGUUAAGUUAAUAAGGGCGCACGGUGGAUGCCUUGGCACUAGGAGCCGAAGAAGGACGUGACAAACGACGAUAUGCCUUGGGUAGCUGUAAGUAAGCGAUGAUCCAGGGAUUUCCGAAUGGGGGAACCCAACAGGUAGUACCUGUUACCCACAUCUGUUAAGGAUGUGAGGAGGAAGACGCAGUGAACUGAAACAUCUAAGUAGCUGCAGGAAGAGAAAGCAAAAGCGAUUGCCUUAGUAGCGGCGAGCGAAACGGCAGAAGGGCAAACCGAAGAGUUUACUCUUCGGGGUUGUAGGACUGCAAUGUGGACUCAAAGAUUAUAGAAGAAUGAUUUGGGAAGAUCAGCCAAAGAGAGUAAUAGCCUCGUAUUUAAAAUAGUCUUUGUACCUAGCAGUAUCCUGAGUACGGCGGGACACGUGAAAUCCCGUCGGAAUCUGGGAGGACCAUCUCCCAACCCUAAAUACUCCCUAGUGACCGAUAGUGAACCAGUACCGUGAGGGAAAGGUGAAAAGCACCCCGGGAGGGGAGUGAAAUAGAACCUGAAACCGUGUGCCUACAACAAGUUCGAGCCCGUUAAUGGGUGAGAGCGUGCCUUUUGUAGAAUGAACCGGCGAGUUACGUUAUGAUGCGAGGUUAAGUUGAAGAGACGGAGCCGUAGGGAAACCGAGUCUGAAUAGGGCGCCUUAGUAUCAUGACGUAGACCCGAAACCAUGUGACCUACCCAUGAGCAGGUUGAAGGUGCGGUAAGACGCACUGGAGGACCGAACCAGGGCACGUUGAAAAGUGCUUGGAUGACUUGUGGGUAGCGGAGAAAUUCCAAACGAACUUGGAGAUAGCUGGUUCUCUCCGAAAUAGCUUUAGGGCUAGCGUCGACAUUAGAGAUUCUUGGAGGUAGAGCACUGUUUGGGUGAGGGGUCCAUCCCGGAUUACCAAUCUCAGAUAAACUCCGAAUGCCAAUGAAUUAUGGUCGGCAGUCAGACUGCGAGUGCUAAGAUCCGUAGUCGAAAGGGAAACAGCCCAGACCACCAGCUAAGGUCCCAAAAUAAUUGUUAAGUGGAAAAGGAUGUGGGGUUGCACAGACAACUAGGAUGUUAGCUUAGAAGCAGCUAUUCAUUCAAAGAGUGCGUAAUAGCUCACUAGUCGAGUGACCCUGCGCCGAAAAUGUACCGGGGCUAAAACAAUUUACCGAAGCUGUGGAUACCUUUAUAGGUAUGGUAGGAGAGCGUUCUAUGUGUGAUGAAGGUAUACCGUGAGGAGUGCUGGAACGCAUAGAAGUGAGAAUGCCGGUAUGAGUAGCGAAAGACAGGUGAGAAUCCUGUCCACCGUAAGACUAAGGUUUCCAGGGGAAGGCUCGUCCGCCCUGGGUUAGUCGGGACCUAAGGAGAGACCGAAAGGUGUAUCCGAUGGACAACAGGUUGAUAUUCCUGUACUAGAGUAUGUAGUGAUGGAGGGACGCAGUAGGCUAACUAAAGCAGACGAUUGGAAGAGUCUGUCUAAGCAGUGAGGUGUGAAUUGAGUCAAAUGCUUAAUUCUAUAACAUUGAGCUGUGAUGGGGAGCGAAGUUUAGUAGCGAAGUUAGUGACGUCACACUGCCAAGAAAAGCUUCUAGCGUUUAAACAUACUCUACCCGUACCGCAAACCGACACAGGUAGUCGAGGCGAGUAGCCUCAGGUGAGCGAGAGAACUCUCGUUAAGGAACUCGGCAAAAUGACCCCGUAACUUCGGGAGAAGGGGUGCUGACUUUAAGUCAGCCGCAGUGAAUAGGCCCAAGCAACUGUUUAUCAAAAACACAGCUCUCUGCUAAAUCGUAAGAUGAUGUAUAGGGGGUGACGCCUGCCCGGUGCUGGAAGGUUAAGAGGAGUGCUUAGCGUAAGCGAAGGUAUGAAUUGAAGCCCCAGUAAACGGCGGCCGUAACUAUAACGGUCCUAAGGUAGCGAAAUUCCUUGUCGGGUAAGUUCCGACCCGCACGAAAGGCGUAAUGAUUUGGGCACUGUCUCAACGAGAGACUCGGUGAAAUUUUAGUACCUGUGAAGAUGCAGGUUACCCGCGACAGGACGGAAAGACCCCAUGGAGCUUUACUGCAGUUUGAUAUUGAGUGUCUGUACCACAUGUACAGGAUAGGUAGGAGUCUAAGAGAUCGGGACGCCAGUUUCGAAGGAGACGCUGUUGGGAUACUACCCUUGUGUUAUGGCCACUCUAACCCAGAUAGGUGAUCCCUAUCGGAGACAGUGUCUGACGG